AGGGUAGUCAUGGGUGUUGAGGAAUAGGAGGGUGGAGACUGUUUUAGAUUUUUUUUCUUCUGGUUGGUGACCUGAAAAGUGUUUGGGAGUUCUACAUUCCUUAAAGGGUAUAGAGCAGUGUAUUUCACACUUUUUUCAUGAAUUACAUAGGGAUUUUAUUGAAGUGUGGAUUUCAAUAACCAGAUCUAGCAGCUGGAGAGCCUGUUUUUCUUUUUUUAAUUUUUUUUUAUUAAAGUGUAGUUGAUUUACAAUGUUCCUUCAAUUUCUGCUGUACAGCAAAGCAACCCAGGCCAUACACACACACACACACACACACACACACACACACACACACGUGUGUACGCACAUACACACACACAUAUAUAUGUAAUAUAUGUAUAUAUGUAUGUGUAAUGUAUAUAUAUAUACAUUUUUAUACUGUCUUAAUCAUGUUAUACCCAAGAGACUCUACACAGUUCUCUGUGCUGUACAGUAAGAACCCAUUACCCAUCCAUUCUAAUAGUUUGCAUCUACCAAUCCCAAACUCCCCAUCCAUCCUCUUCCCUCCUCCUCUCCCCUGGAUAACACAAGUCUGUUCUCCAUGACCAUGAUCUCUUUCUGUUUUACAGAUAGGAUCAUUUGUACCAUGUUUUAGAUUCCACAGAGAAGUGAUACCAUAUGGUAUUGUCUCUCUUACUUCACUUAGUAUGAGAAUCUCUAGUUCCAUCUGUGUCGCAGCAAAUGGCAUUAUUUUGUCUUUUUUAUGGCUGAGUAGUAUUCUAUUUAUAACACUUCUUCUUAACCCAUUCAUCUGUUGAUGAACUUUUGGGUUGUUUACAUGUGUUGGCUAUUGUGAAUAAUGCUGCUAUGAACAUAGGGGUGCAUUCUAUUUUUGAAUUGUAGUUUUGUCUGGAUAUAUGCUCAGGAGUGGGAUUGCUGGAUCAUAUGGUGGUUCUAGAUUUAGUUUUCUGAGGAACCUCCAUACUAUUUUCCAUAGUGGUUGUACCAAAUUAUAUUCCCACUAAUAGUGAAGGAGGGUUCUCUUUUCUAUGCAUCCUCUCCAGCAUUUUCAUUUGUUGACUUGUUAAUGAUAGCCAUUCUGACUGGUGUGAGGUGGUACUUCAUUGUAGUUUUGAUUUGCAUUUCUCUAAUAAUUAGUGAUACUGAGUAUUUUUUCAUGUGUCUGCUGACCGUCUUAUGUCUUAUUUGAAUAAAUAUCUUUUUAGAUCUUCUGCCCAUUUUUUGAUUGGGUUGUUUGGCUUCAAUGUUGUUUAGUUGUACGAGGCUGCGUUUUAACAAGCUCCCAGGGAUAGCUAUGCUACUGAUCCCAGAAACAUACUUUGAGAAGAAAAGGUAUAAAACAUUUUUUUUCAGGUAAUUUGUAAUAUCUACUGUUCUGAUAUUUCAAAAAAAGUGUUUUUUUUUUUUCUGUCUACAACUUUGGUUAAUGAAAGGAAGGAAGGAUUCUGCUUUUGGGUUGUUCUAGAGGCUUUCCACUCAUGUGUGUGUAGCUGGGAAUCUGCAAACAUCAGACAUCAUUCAUUAAAAUAAUGCCUAACUGGACUGUAAUAUAAGAAGGCAUCAAUAUUACAUUUUAAGGGUUAGACUGAUCAGAGAAAAGUCACAUGUUUUCUUCGAAUGAAAUGAUAACUCCACAAAACAGAGAGACUAGGUAGACCAUGAAACACACUGAUAGACUUCAAUAUUAAAGGAUAAGAUUCUAAAUGGAAGCUAGGCUCUGCUCUGCUAGGGGAUCUUUAAUAAUCUUGCUUCUUUUUGUAGCAGUAUUCAACUAUGUGACUAAAAUACAGACAACCCAAAUGGCUCAAAAACUAAACAAAAAUUACUGCUUCUGUGAAGUUUGUCAUUUUAUUUGUCCUCAUCAAUUCACAGCAUAUGUUUCGUUUUGUUUCUCUGUCAUUUGUCUUUUUAUUCUUUUGUCCAGACAUGAUAUCGCUAUUAAUAUUGAAGUGAGGGUGUUGGAUUUCUACUUUUGUGAAGAUAACUGAUAAUCACAGAGUCCAGUCUAUAGUAAGUGGGCAUUUAUCUGGCAUUCACUGGGUAAAGAAGUUAUGUCAGAAGCUUAUGCUCUUGUAAGAAUGCAUAACCUGAGGACAAUGAUUGAACAAAAUGUAACUUUUUCUUGCUACUCUGAAAUGUAAUGUUUCAGUUGUGCACCCACCAUGAAAACGAUUCCUCUUAAGUCACUUGAGGUACUUUAAAGAUUUCGGAUAGAGGUGGUUCUUUUUUUUAUUAAGGUAAUAUUCAACUGAGGGAUUAGUCACCACAUAUUUAUAUAAAGUUUUCAUGCUAGGGCAAUUAACUGCAGAAUUCAAUAAAUAGCAACACCAUAACAAAAAGCUCAUUUGGAUAAUCACUACCUAAAACAAGACUGGCAGUGCAGUUCUUUUCUUUAUUCAUCUUAAUUCUCUCUGGCAUAUAUAUCACUGGAGACUGUAGCUGAAAGUAAAUAGUAAGUUUAUGAUCAUAUUUCAUUGUGUUUGGAGAUUUCAGAGUGAUUCCUCAUUAGCGUUAGCUGGUUUAAUGCAAUCUUUAAAUCCUUUGAUGAUUAGCUUGUCUUAUAAUUAUUUUGGCUCAGCGAUUUAUGGUAAAAAUACAAAUACAAAUAAAAUUACCAAUGUUCACUUCCCAUCUUUUUCUCUACAGAGAUGAAAUGAGUAAGAUCUCUCACCCUCUUUACUUUCUCUCUCCUUACUAUGGCUCAUAAGUCUGCUUAUUUUAGCCUAAAGCUAUACAUUAAAUGCCUCUGUGUUUACUUAUGACUUAGGCUUAGGAAUUAAAAUAUAUUUGUUGAUUAAUUUAUUAAUUUGUUUUUAAUUAUGGUUUUGUUCUCUCUAUAUAUUUAUAUUUGUAUUUAUUUGUAUAUAUUUGUAUGCAUUUUUAAAUUUAUUUAAUUUUUAUUUAAGUUAUUAGGCGUGUAUGAUAGAUAUCUGGUGUUUAAAUUCAUGCAUUUAGAAUAUUCAAAGAACAAGUUUCUUUUUUACCUCUCUUAAUUCUGAUGGACUACAUAGUUUCUUCUUUGUGUUGUCUCUGGCUUUUCCAUUCUUUCAUGGACUACCUUUUUUUCUUUCCAUCCAUAAAUUAACCUAUGGCAUCAGUUCUAGAUAUAUAUGAUGUUUUAGUAUAUCUACACAACCUGAAUAGCACCAGAUGGCCAUCUCUUCCCAAUCAGCCACGGACUGGGGAGGGGGGAGCAUUUGAAAGUCUUUUCCUAGAGGUGGAGAUUGGCCAGUCAUGAAAAUACAGGCUCUAAAUUGGGCAAACCAUGAGCCCUCUUAAGUACAAGUUAUAUUGUUUAGCAUACUUCAGCUAAGAUAUCCAUAGUUACUUAGUGACUUGCUUUUUAAACAUUGUUCAGUUAAUAAUUGUCAUCAGGCACUAGAAAUCCAAUAUGAAUCAAUGGUUCAUGAUAAUAAGAAACUGUUGGGAUAAUAGUUCCUACUUAUCAAGGUAAUAACAAAACUAUAAACUCUUCUUCUUCCCUAAUCUCAAAACAGUGUGAUUCUAUUUAUUAGAACUCCAGUUAAAACCUAUAGAGUUUUAUUUCCUUCCUAACCAAGUACAAUGUGUAAACAUCAAGAAAAACGUUAAAAUGCGGAAGAUGGUGAUAUUUUAAAGACAUAAAUAUAUAUUUUAAGUUCACCUGGAGUCUAAAUUAAAUUUUUAUCAAUGCUACAUCAAAAUGAGAAUGCAUUUGUGUGGGGCUAGGUGUAUGCUAUGAGGUUUAUAUUUUUAUUUUGUUGUCUUUUAAUAAGAGGAUUUAAAUUAGGAAAAAUACUUUAUUUCACCUUUAAGAGCAUUUCUAUCAAGGAAUGCAAUUCUGUGUUGCAUAUUAUAACCAAACAAUACUUUACUCUGUGGUUCAUUCUCAAUACAAAAUGCUUCAGUGCCUGUUAGCUUUACUAUAUCUGCUGGGCUACAAAGCAGAAGAAAUCCAAAAACUAUUGAUCUGGAUAUUUUUAUCAAAUUGGUCACCAGUCUCUGCCUAACAUCAGAACAAUGUUCUGGCCAAUAAACAUUGUUCACUUAAAAAAAUAUGGUAAAGCUUAUGGCCAUAAACUGAAAUCUCACUGGCAGUCUUCACUAUAGAAUAGUAAUAAUAGCUUUUACUUUUGAACCUCACACAAGGAGGUUAAAUUACUGACUCCGAAAUAAAAUUUAACUAUAAGAUAGUUUCACUUGAGUGGCACUUGCAUUAUGGUUAGAUUCAAUCUUAAAGAAGCCUCAAUCUUUGGUAGGCUGAUAUCUUUUAGUUUUUAUCUUAAUUUCCUUCUGGCGCUUAUUCCCUGCUAGAUUGCUCAAAUGACUUCAGAUACACUUCAUCAAGUCUGGGACUGAAAAAUAUGUUCUAGUUUAUUUAAUUUAUCUGAAUGGCAAUACCUGUGGUUGGUGAAUUUAGAUCCUGUUUAAAACAUCUGUUAGGCCAAGGAGAACAUGACUUUGGUGUUAGGGCAAAGAGAAAAUAUCUUAAAGAAUCAAGCUUGAAUAAGCUGCCACAGUGCAAUUUAGAGUAAAAAACAUAUGAUAACAUUAAAAGUGAUAUUUUUAUUGAGUUCUAUCUGAAUUGGCAGGGAUAGAAGUAAUUUAUGGAAGUUAUUUCAGAGUAAAUAAGAGAUGUCACAAGUUUAGUCAACAUUAUUAAAAUCCCGUAGUUGCCUUAUUAAGAGCUUCUGAUUGUGUUAGGAAUAAUAGCAGUAGGAACAUAUCCUAAAUGUGGAGCAGGUUACUGAGGAACUACAGAUAAAGGUACUAUUUUUUGCCUUCUCACAGCUGGAAUGCAAGCAUUUUUCAGUCAUUUAUUGCUCCAUAUUUUUUUGACAUAAAUAUUUUUGAUAGAGCAGUCAAGAACAAUUUCUCUGUUUCAGGAAAUAGGUUUUCUUCUGAAUUCUUCCCUCUUCAUUUAGCAAAUAUAUGAAAUAUUUAUUCCACAAGAGGCAACAGAAUUUCUUCUAUAUAGAUCCUUUCAAAAAAACAUAUAGAAUCUCGUAUAAGUGUCUGACCAGUAUGCAUAAAUUGUGAAUGAACAUCAGUUUCUCAUCUAGUGUGACACCAUAGAUGUUUUCUGAGUGCAAAUUAAUUCCAUGUUUUUGUGGUGUAUAGAUCACCUCAUCUUACUUAUUGCAUUAAGCUCAGGCAUUUUCCUGAGGGGGAAAACAGUGAUGGAUUUAUUCUUUCCUCUUCUCCUGACCCCAUUCCCUUCCUACAUGAGUCAGUGUCAACUUCUUUAUCUACUUAGGUUCCAUACUUCAUUAGGAUAGCUGUUUAAAAUAGAUCAUUAUACAACUACAGAUGUGCUAAAUUCAUUUGAGUAAUACAAAAUACAAUACAAUACAAUACAAUACAAUAAAAAAACAUGACAGAAGAUAUGAGAAAAAUAAUGUGUAUAUAUAUAUAUAUAUAUAUAUAUAUAUAUAUAUGAUGACUGGGUCAAUAUGUUGUACACCAGAAAUUGACACAACACUGUCAAUCAACUAUACUCUAAUAAAAAUAAAAUUAAAACUAAGAAAAAAGCAUCAGUAUGUGGUGAUGAAGCAAGGGUAAAUUUUAAUAAUAGACAACUAAUGUUACCCAAAGAACUUCCUCUUUUCAAGAGUAUUAUUGCUUACUGCUUUUUAUCUGUCAUACAUUCACCACUAACCCUGGUGGGCUUGUUGUAAAGUAAGGAAGAGAAAUAGAAAAUAUCCUGAUUUGUUAAACUUUGUAAGAGGAGGUGUUUGUUUGUUUGUUUUUCUGAGUAUUACUCCAGGCUCAGAGUUCUCCUUUACCAGCCUUAUUUUCUUCUUUUUCUAUCACACAUAGAAGUAUUUCCACACUUUCCUGUGCUU
rnacentral:lncRNA from 1 species